GACGAACGCUGGCGGCGUGCUUAACACAUGCAAGUCGAACGGAAAGGCCCUGCUUUUGUUGGGUGCUCGAGUGGCGAACGGGUGAGUAACACGUGAGUAACCUGCCCUUUACUUUGGGACAACUUCAGGAAACUGGGGCUAAUACCGGAUAGGAGCUCCUGCUGCAUGGUGGGGGUUGGAAAGUUUCGGCGGUUGGGGAUGGACUCGCGGCUUAUCAGCUUGUUGGUGGGGUAGUGGCUUACCAAGGCUUUGACGGGUAGCCGGCCUGAGAGGGUGACCGGCCACAUUGGGACUGAGAUACGGCCCAGACUCCUACGGGAGGCAGCAGUGGGGAAUAUUGCACAAUGGGCGGAAGCCUGAUGCAGCAACGCCGCGUGCGGGAUGACGGCCUUCGGGUUGUAAACCGCUUUCGCCUGUGACGAAGCGUGAGUGACGGUAAUGGGUAAAGAAGCACCGGCUAACUACGUG
rnacentral:rRNA from 1 species